CUAUAUUCACUUCAGCCCAUACAUUCUCACAGUUUGUUUGUAGCUCUGAGAUUUCAUCAGAUAUGAUGUCUUUUGAUAUGGCAAUUAGGACACCACCAUGACUUUGAUUUUUUUCAUUUGGUGGACGAUCUUUCCUGUAUACAUUGUAGUCUGAUAUUGCGGAAAGUAAUCAUAGGAAGAUGUUUCUUUAUCUAGCCAAGUUUCAGUUCCAA
rnacentral:lncRNA from 1 species